AAAGGAAUUGACGGGCACCCGCACAAGCGGUGGAGCAUGCUAUUUAAUUCGAAGAUACGCGAAGAACCUUACCUAGACUUGACAUCCCUGGCAAAGCUAUAGAAAUAUAGUGGAGGUUACCCAGGUGACAGGUGGUGCAUGGUUGUCGUCAGCUCGUGUCGUGAGAUGUUCGGUUAAGUCCGAUAACGAGCGCAACCCUUAUCAUUAAUUACUAACAUUCAGUUGAGGACUAUAAUGAUACUGCCGGUGAUAAACCGGAGGAAGGUGGGGAUGACGUCAAAUCAUCAUGCCCCUUACGUCUAGGGCUAUAGGCGUGCUACAAUGGCCAGUACAAUGAGACGCAAUACCGCGAGGUGGAGCAAAUCUUUAAAACUGGUCCCAGUUCGGAUUGGAGUCUGCAACUCGACUCCAUGAAGUUGGAAUCGCUAGUAAUCCUAGAUCAGAAUGCUAGGGUGAAUACGUUCCCGGGUGUUGCACACACCGCCCGU
rnacentral:rRNA from 1 species